AAUUAGCCCUGAUUGCAGCGGUUACCCCGCAACAAGCGAAGGAAAAAGCUCUGGAGUGAGGAGUAUGAGCGGAAAGCAGGUUCCCGG
rnacentral:misc_RNA from 1 species